UUCCCCGGUUCUGGCCUGGUCUUGCCCUUUCCCGGACCUGCCUCCGGCUGCGGGGGCCGCCCGGGGAGCAUCCUCUCCCCCGCCUCCCAAGCUUGGCCUCCUCGGGAAGGAAGGGACCGCGGCGGCGGCAGAAGGGCUAAGCACUCAUCCUACCUGCUGGCAACGCUUGAUUUUGACCUGUAUGAUUGGCCAGAAGCGGACCAUAUUCUCCAGAAGAACUACCCUGCUGGCUGAAGGUAGGACGUUUACCUGUGAAGGGGGGAAAGGCAAAUGUGAACAGAGGUGCUUAUUUGAGAAAUGUUCUCACAGAAGACUAUGCAAUGAAGUAUUUCUGUGCCCUCUUUUCUGAGCCAGCACUCUUUUCUCUGCAGCUGUAGAGAAAUUGGGAACCACCUGUAUGCAGCUGACACUACAGAAAAGGCAACCUUUGGUGCUGGGGGUGGGAAACUUUCAUACAAGCCACAGGACAUCUGCCUUCCCUAAUGGAGUCUUUUCUGUACUUCUAAGCAACCCAAAAUACUUCCUUUUCUCAUUACUUACAUGAUUUCCAAAAUUACUUUGGAAUGCCAUCUUGAUCAACAACACUAUAGAACACAUGAUAAUCUUCCCUGUUAACUGAUAGCCUUUCUCAUAAAUGGUCAUAUCACUGCAUAAUGGCUCUGGGACAACACAAUAUGAUAAUCUAAGCAGAACCAAUUUCAGCAAAUUGGGAAUUAUAUGACAAACUGCAAUCUGACAUCCAAAAUUUAGCAAUAAUGCAGCUCCUAUUGUUCAUCAAAACAAUUGUUGUGAAUAAAUCCUUCUUCCUACCUAAAAUCUUUACAUGGCUAAAAAAAAAGGUCUGCAUGCUCUAUUGAAAGCAAUUCAGAACUUUGGAUAGGUUUUGUUUUUUUUUGUUUUUUUGGGGACGGGGGACGGGGGACGGGGACUAUAAUUCCAAAAAUAAUUGAGAAGCACCGCCAAAUUACAGCAAAGGAAAAGAAAGGAGAUGGCAAGUCAGAGCUGAGUACUUCAGGAAAACAAAGCUUCCAGUGGUUUUACUUACUUAUUAAGGGAUGUAAUCAUUACCGUGGAUACUUUUGUACAUGAUACAGAAUUGAGUACAUUUUAAAUGCAUUUGUUUCCGUUAUGUACCUUGAAAGGGAAGGACCACAGCUGAGAGGCAAAACACAUACUUCUGAAGUUCCAGGUCUUAGUAUCACCACUUAAAAUGAUCAAGAAGCAAAAGAAAAUGGAAAUACAUUUGCCUAAACAUUAAAAAACCCUUUUGGCUUUUGGCUACUAACUGCAUCCUCUAA